CCUACGGGCGGCAGCAGUGAGGAAUAUUGGUCAAUGGGCGGAAGCCUGAACCAGCCAAGUAGCGUGCAGGAUGACGGCCCUACGGGUUGUAAACUGCUUUUAUACGGGAAUAACGCGCCUUACGUGUAGGGCUUUGCAUGUACCGUAUGAAUAAGGACCGGCUAAUUCCGUGCCAGCAGCCGCGGUAAUACGGAAGGUCCGGGCGUUAUCCGGAUUUAUUGGGUUUAAAGGGUGCGCAGGCGGCGAGUUAAGUCAGCGGUAAAAUUUCGGGGCUCAACCCCGACAAGCCGUUGAAACUGGCUUGCUAGAGUGGGCGAGAAGUAUGCGGAAUGCGUGGUGUAGCGGUGAAAUGCAUAGAUAUCACGCAGAACUCCGAUUGCGAAGGCAGCAUACCGGCGCCCAACUGACGCUCAGGCACGAAAGCGUGGGUAUCGAACAGGAUUAGAUACCCUUGUAGUC
rnacentral:rRNA from 1 species